GAACGAGAAAGGGGAGCAAUCCCUGAGUACAGUGGCGUACGGGUGAGUAACACGUGGGUAAUCUGCCCUUUGGUGGGGAAUAACCCUGGGAAGCCGGGGCUAAUACCGCAUAAGUCCGAGAGGGGAAAGUCGCAAGACGCCGAAGGAGGAGCCCGCGGCCGAUUAGCUAGUUGGUAGGGUAAAAGCCUACCAAGGCAAAGAUCGGUAGCCGGCCUGAGAGGGCACACGGCCACACUGGCACUGAAACACGGGCCAGACUCCUACGGGAGGCAGCAGUGGGGAAUCUUGCACAAUGGGGGAAACCCUGAUGCAGCGACGCCGCGUGAGCGAUGAAGCCCUUCGGGGUGUAAAGCUCUUUCGGCAGGGAAGAUUAUGACGGUACCUGCAGAAGCAGCUGCGGCUAACUACGUGCCAGCAGCCGCGGUAAUACGUAGGCAGCAAGCGUUGUUCGGAGUUACUGGGCGUAAAGGGUGUGUAGGCGGUUUGGUAAGUCUGGUGUGAAAUCUCCCGGCUCAACUGGGAGGGUGCGCCGGAAACUGCCGGACUCGAGUGCGGGAGAGGAGAGUGGAAUUCCUGGUGUAGCGGUGAAAUGCGUAGAUAUCAGGAGGAACACCGGUGNGUGUAGACGGCUCUCUGGACCGUAACUGACGCUGAAACACGAAAGCGUGGGUAGCAAACAGGAUUAGAUACCCUGGUAGUCCACGCC
rnacentral:rRNA from 1 species